UAAGCUGCAUUUGGAUAAAAGAGUUCGGUCAAAUUCUAGCUCGUGGUACAAAAGUGGAAGACCAGCUUCUUCAAACCAAAAUUGAAAACUUUGAGGAAGAUGGAUAACACUGAUGACAUAGCACAUGCAUGUUCUAAGAAUCUCUACCUAUUGCUUAAAAAAAACGGAGACGAAAUCGAGAUGCUCGAGUCUGCAAACCCAAAGGGUGCAGUAACCAUUGAUUUACUUAAACUUCGAGCUGCAACGAGCCAAUGAUCUGUCUUUUGGAAGCAUCCAUGAGAAAAACUUGCAUAUACCUUGGUGAAAGAUUUGGUAAACUGUGACCAUGCCCAGCCUCGACACUGGCAAUCGAUAGAGAAAAGAGAAUCUCGUUUGGAUAACCCCUCAACCUCCUUUGCCCUGAGUCUGCAUAUGCAUCAUUUUCGUUUCAUGUGCUGUUCCCGGGUGCUCCUGCUGCUGGUUUGUUGUCCUCGAUCAGUGCUUUUAUGUGUUUGUGCUGCUUACUAUGUCCAAACUCCAAACCCCCCUGUUACUGCUGCUUGGGCUAAGCCUCUGGCCCCUGGAGAUGAUGUCUGCAUACUGCAUAUCAAGCUUUCUAGGGUGGCAAAGGUUUUGCGCUCUUGGAGUCGUAUAUGAAAACCAGGUUACAACUUGCUGCUCUCCAAAGUGGCUUCAGCAGGUUAUUCUGGGCCUGGACCAUGGCACCAUGCUCAAGAUCUCGGCGAUCUCAUGUUGGCUAACAUUCCUCUCAAACAGUUCCUGAGGUUUAAGAUCCUUGCACUGGCUGCCAUCGCAAGAUCAAGAAUUAGACAGCGUUCAAGAAUUUAAUGGCUCAAGACAGGAGAUGCCAACUCAAAACUCUUUCACCUUAAAGCCAAUGGCCAAUGGUCUUGAGGGAGAAGGUGACAUCUUCUUAAUGCUGCACGAGUCAGAUGAAGCGUGCAGGUAAAGAAUUUCAGGCAAGGUCCUUUGCAAACUAUUGGCAAUUUGUCUUGCCCCUUGUUUCCACACCAUAGUCUUAAACUGUCAAAGCGCAUCAAUUAAGCAAAGAAGCAUCCAUGGAAAUCUCAUUUAUGUCAGAAGUGCG
rnacentral:lncRNA from 1 species